CACGUAGGCGGUUUCUUAAGUCAGAGGUGAAAGCCCGGGGCUCAACUCCGGAAUUGCCUUUGAAACUGGGAGACUUGAACACGGGAGAGGUGAGUGGAAUUCCGAGUGUAGAGGUGAAAUUCGUAGAUAUUCGGAGGAACACCAGUGGCGAAGGCGGCUCACUGGACAGUGACUGACGCUCAUAUGCGAAAGCGUGGGGAUCAAACAGGAUUAGUUACCCUG
rnacentral:rRNA from 1 species